rnacentral:rRNA from 1 species
CCCUUAGAUGUUCUGGGCCGCACGCGCGCUACACUGAUACGUUCAGCAAGUCUACCACCUCGGCCGAGAGGCCCGGGUAAUCUUCUGAAAGCGUAUCGUGAUGGGGAUAGAUUAUUGCAAUUUUUAAUCUUCAACGAGGAAUUCCUAGUAAACGCAAGUCAUCAACUUGCAUUGAUUACGUCCCUGCCUUUUGUACACACCGCCCGUCGCUACUACCGAUUGAAUGUUUUAGUGAGCCUCAGGGACUGGGACCGUUGGUGGCAACACCGGCGGCUUCGGGAACUGAUGCAAACUUGAGCAUUUAGAGGAAGUAAAAGUCGUAACAA